CCCGGUCGGACGUCCAUGUGAAGCACGAGGGCGACCCGGCGGUGGUGUGCCUGGCCUUCCUGAUCAACGAGGGCGGCCUGGUCAGCGCCACAGGGGAUGAUUCUUUGCACCUGUGGAAUAUACAGCAGAAGACACCGCAGAUUGUACACUCACUCAAGUUCCAGAGGGAGAGCUCCUGAUUGGCUACGAGAGCGGUCAGCUUGUCUUGUGGGACUUCAAAGGGCGCACCGCUGAAGUUCGCUACCAUUCUGCCGAACCACUGAGGUCCCGCAAGAUCCAUCCUGGUGCUGUGGUCCAUCUAAGUGACUGCCCUGUGGAACCUGGGAAGCUCCUGAUUGGCUACGAGAGCGGUCAACUUGUCUUGUGGGACUUCAAAGGGCGCACCGCUGAAGUUCACUACCAUUCUGCCGAACCACUGAGUUUAGCGCGGUGCCCCCAAAGUACGACGCCGUUUACCGCCAACUCUCCCAGCGGGGCGCGAGGGUGCUGGCACUGGGCCGGAAGGAGCUCGGAAGACAAUCCCACUCUGAGGUUGGCCUUCGGAAAUCGCUCCUUCCUGUGAUAUAAAGGCAUAUUAUACACACAUUGGGAGGUGAGCGAUGGGAGAAUGAUCCCAGGAAAGCCACGUUAGCGAGGGUUACCCCAACGCCUAACAAUGGGUUUGCAGAGUUGGUACCACUGCAGAGAGUCAAGGUGAGUUUGAUUUUUUGCUUGAUUUCUCGCUUGUGUUUUAACUUAGAAACAAACGGGAGGCACAUGUGGAUAGAUAAAUCUUUCCUCUAUCCACCCACACUUGGCCAAACACCACACACCCAAACACGCCCGAGAAAAACGCGAAAAUGUCGCAACUUUCUGAGUCAAAAAUGAAAAAAAAUCUUGAAGUCGUGUUUGUUUUUGCUUAAUUUCUCGCUUGCUUUUUAACUUAGAAACAAAUGGGAGGUACAUGUGGAUGAACAAACUCUUCCUCUAUCCACCCACACUAACCCAAACACCACACACCCAAACACGGCUGAGAAAAACAGGAAAAUAUCGGAACUUUCAGAGUAAAAAAUGAAAAAAAAAUCUUGAAGUCGUGUUUGUUUUUGCUUAAUUUCUCGCUUGCUUUUUAACUUAGAAACAAAUGGGAGGUACAUGUGGAUGGAAAAACUCUUCCUCUAUCCACCCACACUAACCCAAACACCACACACCCAAACACGCCCGAGAAAAACGGGAAAACAUCGGAACUUUCAGAGUCAAAAAUGAAAAAAAAAUCUUGGAGUCGUGUUUGUUUUUGCUUGAUUUCUCGCUUGUUGCUUAACUUAGAAACAAACGGAAGAUACGUGUGGAUAGAUAAAUCUUUCCUCUAUCCACCCACAC